AUUUAUUUAUUUAUAGUAAAUUAUUUAUUUGUUUGAUUAUUAUUUUAUACUUUUUUGAAUUGAAUUAUCUAGGCCAGAGUAAUUUAAAAAUGUACAAUUUUUUAUCAAAUUUAAAAAAAAAGUCCAUUAAAGACAAAGAAAUAAUGUUUUCCAUUAAAGUCCAAAAUAACUCAAAAGUAAAAUAAUUUAAAUAGCCCAGGUCUUUAAUUCAUGUGGCCAUUCAAAACUGAUCAGACAACAUAUCAAAGAUUUUAUCCAGUAUAUGAAUGGAAAACAACCUUUUUCUACUAGCAAAAUGAAAAUCUUAUUAUCUGUGAAAGAUUACAAUGGACGCAAGAUUUUAACCUUGGAGAGAUGAAAUGUAUAUACAAAACACAAAAUUUAUAACCUACACAUAAAAAUAUAAUAUUAAAUUUAAUCUUAGGUCGACGAACUUAUAUAAUUUUAUAAUAUUAGUAUGAAAAAAUUAUGAUAUUUUUAGAAAUUUUAGGAUGACGAUUGCCCUAGGCGCCGCAUUCCAUAUCUAUGAUUACAAUAUUGAAGACAAAGCCUUGUGUGAUAGCAAAUAUAGGGGAAAAACUAUGAUUUUCUCUCUUUAGUUUUGUUAAAAAAAAAUCAAAGUGAAUGCCAAUUAGUUAAUUGAUAAGUUCAAUAAAAUUGGACUUAAGGAUUCAAUUCUUCAGCGAUUAAUUAAAAUUUUAUAUUUUUUAAUUUCUGUUUGCUUGAUGAAUCUAAAAAUAUAAAAGUUUUAAUCUAAUUUUAAAAAGGUAUCUUUACCGCCGUCCAAUCGGUAUCGGUUAAAGAGCAUAUAAAUCAAAAAAGUUUAGUUAUCAUCACACAUUUCAGUAUAUUUUUACAUGUUUAAUAUACUAUUUACACAUUUUAAUAUGCUUUUUGCACCUUAAGUAUUGCCCAUUAGGUUGUGGCUAUUAUUUUUCUUUGCAAAAAAGUUUAUUAAAGUCAAAAUAUUCUAUGUUUUAUUCAACAAUGAACUUUUUUUUUAUUUCUAGGAUAUUUUUCAAAUUUUAUUUCAGAUUCCUCACUUCUAGAAAAACUAAAAAAAUAUAUAAUUUUAAUUAAAUAUUAUUAUUUUUUUACUAAAAAACAAAAAACUCAAAACCAAAAACAAUUAAAAUUAACUCAAAGAAUUUACCCAAACAUGACUUUGGUGUAAUAAGUUCUUAUUUUUCCUCUCUCUAUACCCCAUUAGAACUCUUUAGUCUUUUUGUAUAUUGGAUGGUAUUGGACUAACCAGUGCUAUAGCAAUUAUAUUUAGAGAGUGUUUGAUACGAUUGAACUUAUGUUAAAAUUGCUUAUUCAAAAGCAGAAUUGGAAUAAUUUUAAAAUAGAACUUCCAAUAAUUAAAUAUUUUUCUAUUUUUGUAAAUUAUUUUUGACUCAAAAAUAGAAGUUGUAUCAAUUAUAUUAACGCGAGGCCAAAUGAAAUGAGUUUAGCUUUCCAAUUGUGGAUUUUAUUUUAUUUUGGACAUAAAACUUGUCGAUUUUUACUGGGUGAAUUUCACUUUACACCCUUAAACUUUAACUUAAGUUGUACUUUGCUCUUUUAGCUUUUAGUUAUGUUAUCAAGUAUCUUUGUGGGCCCUUUGUUCACAUGCCAUUCAAUUAUAGGGAAUGUGAUAUCUUUUUAUAAGACCACAUAACCUAUUUCCAUAACCUAAUUGAACAACAAGGAACAAAAUGGUCACAUUUAAUACUUGAUCUAAACCUAUACAAUUAGAAGUGAAGGACGCAAAUGAAAAUUUUAGUAAAAAUUAUGGUAAUAUUACGGGCACAAAGUGUAAUUUGUCUGUUUUCAAUUGGGUCAUAUUUGAUACUUGACCUAAAAUAUGAGUUGACUAGCAUAGAGGGUAGGGAAGGGUGCAGGUGUAAUUUACCUAUUUUCAAUUGGUUGCAAUUUACUAGCCAACGCGCACUUCCGUGAGGCAAUGGCUAAAGGAACAUAAGCAAGAAGAAAUGAAACUUUAAUUGGUGUCUUUUUCAACGUCUAUUUUCAAUUUUUGACUGAUGAAGGUUGAUUCUUCGGUGAAUUCAUAUGAGAUGCUGACUUAUAUAGAAAUCUUUUCUUACAAAACUACAAAAACCAAAAAAAAAACAUUAUAUAUAUAUACACACACAUUACUUUCUAUUUCCAAAUUAUGGGUGGAGAGAGAAAAAUGGUUGGUGAUUUUAGGUAUGUUAAAUUUGGGUUGGGUCGUUGUAUAACCUGUGAUCUAAUGGUUAAAAACUAGAAAAAUGUUACAGAUCAAAAAUUAAAUUAUAGAAAAUAGUUAAGAAAUGAAGUUUAUGAAUGAUAUUUAUAAUGGAUGUGCCCCAUAAUACAUUAAGAUUGAAUCUACACUUUUGUUGACUUUUUUAACCACUUUAUGUGAUUUUAUUUUUUUAUCCGUAGCAUUGCUCUAAAAAUUAACCUCAUAUGGAUAUGAUCAUUGAAAGUUGUAAUACCAAAACAUUAUAUGAGGGUUGCAACCUUCUAUUAGAUC
rnacentral:lncRNA from 1 species